rnacentral:rRNA from 1 species
GACGAACGCUGGCGGCGUGCUUAACACAUGCAAGUCGAACGGAAAGGCCCUGCUUUUGUGGGGUGCUCGAGUGGCGAACGGGUGAGUAACACGUGAGUAACCUGCCCUUGACUUUGGGAUAACUUCAGGAAACUGGGGCUAAUACCGGAUAGGAGCUCCUGCUGCAUGGUGGGGGUUGGAAAGUUUCGGCGGUUGGGGAUGGACUCGCGGCUUAUCAGCUUGUUGGUGGGGUAGUGGCUUACCAAGGCUUUGACGGGUAGCCGGCCUGAGAGGGUGACCGGCCACAUUGGGACUGAGAUACGGCCCAGACUCCUACGGUAGGCAGCAGUGGGGAAUAUUGCACAAUGGGCGGAAGCCUGAUGCAGCAACGCCGCGUGCGGGAUGACGGCCUUCGGGUUGUAAACCGCUUUCGCCUGUGACGAAGCGUGAGUGACGGUAAUGGGUAAAGAGGCACCGGCUAACUACGUG